rnacentral:rRNA from 1 species
AUUGAACGCUGGCGGCAGGCCUAACACAUGCAAGUCGAAUGGUAACAGGAAACAGCUUGCUGUUUCGCUGACGAGUGGCGGACGGGUGAGUAAUGUCUGGGAAACUGCCUGAUGGAGGGGGAUAACUACUGGAAACGGUAGCUAAUACCGCAUAACGUCGCAAGACCAAAGAGGGGGACCUUCGGGCCUCUUGCCAUCAGAUGUGCCCAGAUGGGAUUAGCUAGUAGGUGGGGUAACGGCUCACCUAGGCGACGAUCCCUAGCUGGUCUGAGAGGAUGACCAGCCACACUGGAACUGAGACACGGUCCAGACUCCUACGGGGGGCAGCAGUGGGGAAUAUUGCACAAUGGGCGCAAGCCUGAUGCAGCCAUGCCGCGUGUAUGAAGAAGGCCUUCGGGUUGUAAAGUACUUUCAGCGGGGAGGAAGGGAGUAAAGUUAAUACCUUUGCUCAUUGACGUUACCCGCAGAAGAAGCACCGGCUAACUCCGUG